UUAAAACUUCUACUGUGGUGCCCUUCAAACCAUUCUCCACACUUCAGCAAGAAGGAUCCUAUAAAAACCCAAAUGUUAUCCCCAUAUCCUUACUCUACUUAAAACUUCACUUUUCUCAGAACAUAGCCCCAUCAUGAAGCAACGCAUGACUCUGUGUGUGUGUGUGUGUGUAGAUAAAUGAAGCAAAAGUAUGAUUUGAUUUGAUACAGAGAGAGAAUUCCCCUUAUAAGGGAAAGGACUCUGCUGAUAAACAGCAGGGUCAAAAGAAUGCCAGCUCACGGAUUCAAGCUUCAUCAGAGGCCUCCUGGACAGCCUCACCCUGUGGACAUGGUUGUUGUUCUGUUGCUUACUGAGGAUGUGUUUCCCAAUUUUAUACAGGAGUGGACGAGCUCAGAUGUACAAUGCACUUCCACCCUGUGAGCCUGGAUUACAUAUAGCAAGGCCAUGUUGCAGAGCCCUCGCCAGGUUGGGAGCCUCAGACUCGUGAAUUCAGCACAAUGUCCUGUCAGCAGGCCUUGUUGUUGGGCUUGACAUCUGCAGAUCUUCCUUUCAACUCGGACCCACUCCAGACCUUGAGAUCCCCAGGGAUCAUGCAGAGUGAAAGUGAGCUUGCGUCACCCACCUCUCCAGUGGACUAGAGCUCCUCAGGACUAAGAUAUUCUGGCUUCCUCCAGGGGAGGAGGUAGGAGAAAAAUGAAUAAGAGGGAAAUGGGAAGGAAGAGAAGGAAGCAAACUCCCAGAAGAAGUUUGCAUCCAACGGCAAAAGAGGCAACAAAAAAUUACCAUCAA
rnacentral:lncRNA from 10 species